AAACUGUCUGGCCAAUAGUGCUUAUUUGGAUGUCAUAAUGAGGAUGGCAAGUGCAGGUGCUGUGGCGUCUGAGUGAUGUCAGAUUGCAAGGCUGGACUAUCACAAUGUACUCACAGGACUGCCAUCAGGGCCAGCAGGGCCUCUGUCUCCAAAGUCACCUGGAAAACCCUGGCCCAGGGAAGAAAGAAGAACGGCCGUUGAAGCCAACACAGAUAAGAAAUUAAGAAAACUAAAGCACAGAGAGCUUGUCACUUGCACUCCACCAGUGAUGAGUGCGACUGAGAUUGGAAUGGAGGAAGUCUGAAUGCAGAGUCUGCUCUUUCUCCUAUUCUACACUGAAUAUUUUAGCUCAUCAUUUCAAGAUAUGAUAAACAUAUAACAAAUCAUUUAAGUACUUUGUUAUUGGGGAAAGCCACAAUGCACAUAAAUACUGCAACCAUAAAAUGUGGUGCGACUGAAAAUCAAGCUUCUCCAGUGCCUACCGUGGGGUAGUUGGAUAAUUUGAUCCAUACUUCAAGCGUCAACCAUGUUCUGUUAGUUGAAACUAAUUUUAAACUUAGAACUUCCUGACUGUGGCAUUACAGAAUGAAGUUUGAAAUCUUUGCAUUAAAAAAAGAAGCUGCUUACAAUUAGGUCCCAGUUGUCCUACUUCUCCAGGAGAGCCAAUAAAACCCUUAAAUUUCUUUCCUCCCAGAGCCCAUGAUGAAACAGAACACAGUGGCAGUACAACUUCUUUAAUUACUUUCUCUGAAACACUUUAAAAUGGUGAGCUAGACUUGUUAAACAUGGUAUCUUCUGCAUGUACAAUUUCCUUUGAAGGGACUGUCCGACAUCCAGAGACUCUAAUAAGAGGGCAGCGACAGUCAUGACCUGUCCUCUGUGAACUCACUCCUACUCCACCUCGGCCACAGGACACAACACUCGAUCUGUGGGAGACCAAUACGAAGUCUGGCCCCUAGCCAAUGAAGUCACUUGGAAUAAAGAGUUUUGCCUAAAUAGAAACAAAGUGGGUAACCGCAUGACCAAAAAGAAAAAAAGAAAGAGUGAAAGAGAUACAGUAGAAUUGAAAUCAGAAAUGUUAAGAGAUGACACUUAACUACUUGAAGAGAGGAACUACACCUUAUUACGUAACACUGGUUUCCUGAAUGAAUUGCAAGGCAAAAAACAAUUGUGACUAAAACAACUAUAGCCUUCCAGAGUUAGCGACAGAUUUUUAUCUCCAAAAUGAAACUCCUCUUUUGUUUGAGGCAAUUUCCCUGGAUCUUUUGCUUCUGUCUUGUCUCAAGAAGCUGAGGCAAAGGUGGGCUAACCUUGUAUAUAAGCAUGUGAAAAGUAACAUCACUGAGAGAUCAAUA